ACUGGGCCUAGUGGAUCAGGGUGCAGGGGCAACCCGGGGUGUAGGUCAGAGCUGGGAGGCAUGGGGGCACGUCUGUCACUGCCCUGGGGACCAUCUCCAGCAUGGAGCCUCACAGCGUGGAGACCUGUGAUCCUGACACCUGCAGAUGCUGAGCUGACCAGAACUGGAAGCCAAUUUAAACCUGGGGGAGAUCAAGAAACUUUUGGAUUAAAGGAAGUCUUCAGGUUUCUGCAUCCUGUAAGACUUUACUUACCCUUUUUGAAAUGUCAAUAAUAUUUGCAGUGUUCUGGGGAAAAAGUGCUGGUCAGUUUUCCAGUGCAAGCCAUGAUAUACUUCUAUAACGAUGAGUCUGAUUCAGAUGAUGAAGAGCAAGAGGAAGAAACUAGCUCUUCCAUUUUCUGUGCAAGGAGGCGGAAGGUCUGGAGGAAAAUGUCCUCUGGGGGAAAGGGCAGAGACAGGAUCAUAAACUGAGGAUGGCAGUCUGAAAGAAGGGGUGGCCUCUGUGUGGAGGACCAGCUCCCCUGAGGUGACUCCUCAAGGGGCAGGGAGUGCUCCUCAUUCACACAAAUAGGGCUCUCUCCCAUGCCAGCUCCACAGGGGCCAUCUCCUCCUGAGCCCUGCUCUGGGUCCUGCCCCCCAUGCUUUUUUGGGGACAGCCAAGCCAGGACACGGUGCAUCCUCUGCUGA
rnacentral:lncRNA from 1 species